rnacentral:lncRNA from 1 species
CAGUGGGUGGAUGACCGGCAUCUGGACUGUAAGAGCACAAAGAUGUCAGGCACUGAGGCUGGGACUGAAAGCAGCAGCUCUGAUUUCCAAGCAGCCUAGUUUGCUGACCAGGAAACGCACCCUGGAAUGGAAGCCCUUACCCUGAAGUCACAGAGGUAAGGCUGGCUGGCUGGCUAGCCUCCGGCCUUGCUGGGCUAAUUGAAACCUGCUUUCCCAGUGGUCCCUGUGUUCCUCAGUGCUGCGCCUGUGGCUGGGAAAGGCUCAGGGAGGGGCAGGGCAAGGCAGUUUCAAAAGUCACAAGGCUCUGGGGAAUGGCAGAGUCGAGGGAUUGCGGGCAAUUCCUUCCCUGGGCCAGCCGAGGGUCUCAGCCUGGGCCCAAGGACCUCUAUAUGAAGAGAGCUUACUCACCCCCAGGAAUUUCCUACUUCACUCCUUGUUCCCUCUCCUGCACACACACACACACACACACACCCCAGGAGACUCUACCCCAACUCAGCCCUAACCCAGCCGAACAACCUUCAGUGGCUCCCCAGUGCCUGAAGAAUAUGAUCCAAACUUUCCCUGCCUACCUCUGUCUUCCCCUUUUUUACGUGCUGGACCUGGCCCUUGCUUCUGCUCCUGUACUUUCUCAUUCAGCUCUCCUCUGACAUGUUUUCUUCCUUCCCCACAAGGCCAGCAAAAAUAUCACCUCCUCCAGGAAGUCCUCCAUGACCACGUGAGCUCACCAGGAACUUCUGCUUUUGAGCCCCCAGAAAGAGCCAUGCUGCAGAAGUCUCCCCAUGCUGCUUCUAACCCAAAUAAAGUACAGGAGAGGAGUUCAGGAAAAAGUCUAGAGCCAGGCACAGCAGUACACGCCUCUACUCUCAGCUACUCGGGAGGCUGAGGUGGGAGGAUUGCUUGAACCCAGGAGUCUGAGGCUGCUAUGCACUAUGAUCACACCUGUGAUUAGCCACUGUACUCCAGCCUGGGCAACAUAGCAAGAACCUGUUUCUUAAAAAAAAAAAAAAAAAAAAAAAAAUUUAAGUGCCUGCAUGCCAGGUAGAAACCAUGAAGGGAGGGGUGCUUUCCAGGCAGAGAAGCCCAUGUGUGUGCAGCCACAUGGAGGAAUCUUUCCUGAUCCCUCCUCCUCCAGGCAAGCCCUGUCCUCCUCUCUCUCUUCCCACACUCUAGUUCCCUGGGGAUGCCAAGUGUGUCCCCAGUACUACAAGCUGUGGCUGUACACACAUGGGGUUCUCUCUGCCUGGAAAGUGCCCCUCCAUUAUGUUUUCCACCUGGCAGGGGGCGGGGUGGGGAGGGGCACUUAAUUUUAAUUUUAAUUUUUUUUUAAGAAAUAGAUUCUCAGGGCCGGGCGCAGUGGCUCACGCCUGUAAUCCCAGCACUUUGGGAGGCCGAGGCAGGUGGAUCACGAGGUCAGGAGAUUGAGACCAUCCUGGUUAACACGGUAAAACCCCGUCUCUACUAAAAAA